ensembl:lncRNA
CUCAUUGUUGCAGUUAUUAUGGCAACAUUAGCUGGCUGCUGGUGGGAUGGGAAGUGGCCCACAGUCUGUAUGGGAGGGAUGUGGUCUCCUUUAAGAUGUGGUUCACAAAAUGGAAAAGUUUGUGUAAAGGGAGUUGUCUCUGUUCUGCUUUUUUGAACAGGUGCCCACAUUACAAGCACCACCACAAUUGGCAGCAAUAGCAGAGAAGUUAACAAAUUGACUGAGCCCAGCUAUUCUUUCCAAAUAUCUUUUUCCCCUGCAGUGUAACAGUUCUGCUCAGUGAGAGCAGCUCACAGUCAAUGGUGGCACACUUGACACUGAAGCCAGAAAGAGUCAGGCAUGGGGACUAGAAAAGCUGCUGGCUCAAAACCAUUGGUGUAUUCCCUAAAGAGGAAUCAACUGCCAAGGAUUUGCCAGGUGCUGGUUCUGCCUCCCACUUGUUGAAAUAUUGUUUGAACAGCCAAAGGAGACUUGGUUUUCUGUCAAGGUCUCUUUGCUGACGCUGCUGCUUAUUGUGACCCAGCUGUAGGCCAUGAGGACAGCAGCUCUACCACGUCAGAGGUUCCUAAGAACAUUUCUCAUGAGAAUCAUCAGCAUUUGCUGCCAAGAUACCCACAACUCUGAUGAUGCUUUUGUCGGCUGUUUUUGCUUCAAAGGAUACAGUGUCAUUGAAAGACUAAUGCACAGGAUCACAAUUCAUGUCACUUUUGGGGAAGACAGGGAAUCAUCAAGAGAAGACUGUGGGAUGCUAUUUUAAAGAUAAAGCUUUAUAUUCAAAUUCAUUUAGGUAGUUAAUGCAUGAAUGGAUGUGAUUUUUCAGCAGUUCAGCUGUAGAAGAUAAAAAUAGCAUUUUUUUUAAUUGAGGGAAUAUACUCAUUGAUUAUCAGUAGAAAAAAGAGGAAUAUAUUAAACUGCAGCAGGUGAACAUCAUACAAAGUUCUCUUGUUAAUAAGACCGCAUUGGUAGAUCUACAGACUUUACAUUACAGAGUGAUUAUUUCACUGUCUCAUCAGAACUGUAGAUCAAAACUGUGAAACUUCACAGCAUUACCUCUGAGGUGAAAUAGAACUACGCAAAGCAUGUUGGUGAAGCAGAAAAGAAGAUGCUAUUCAAGUUGACAGAAGAUUUAUAGCUUUGGAUCAAAUCCACCUUCCUUCAGUUUUAAACUGAAGUGCCAUUUUCUCAUUUCUGGGCUUUGGCUAAGUGUAUUGUAUUUCAGUUUAUCCAUGAAAAUGACCUGUUUUGUUUCUUCUAGACUUAGUCCAUAACAUGAUAUGCAUAACAGCACAAGUGCGUAAGUUGUCAAAACCAUGGCCCCUCCAAAUAAUAAUAAUAAUAAUAAUACAAAGAAACAAUGAUCAUUUAAAAACCACAGUUCUGGCACGAGGAUUUCAAACAACAAAAGUUCCUAAUACUUCUUGUUUCAGAGGUUGAUCACCCAUUCUGUAUGAAAAGUGCCUAAUUUCUCACACAAAUUGAUGUGGCCUCAGCUUUCAGCCUUUAUCAUACUUUCCUUGGCUGUUAAAAGACCUUCAGUUUUCUUUUCAUAAAUGCAUUUAUGCACUGUAGUCUGAUUCUGAAUUUUAUUUUUAAUGGCCUAAACCUGUUGAACUCUUUAAGUCCUCAUAAUAGGGUAUUUUCUACAGGACUUGAACAAUUCAGUGACUCUGUUUUUAAGAGCAGCGAUUUUUUCAAAUGUAUCUAGCUUUUUAAUGCAUUCAUCUUUGCUAUGGAGAAAAAUGAAGCCAUCACCCAUUUUUCCUACAUUUAUACAUCCUCAGUUUAUAUUAGCCCUUUUGCUGCAGCAUCGCAGUGGAAAUGUGUUCUAUUGCUUGCCCACUUUGACCCUAAAUCAUUUCAAAGUGGUUGCUUUUCAAGACGCUGUUUUAAAUAUAUUUCAAAAUGCUGUUCUGCUGUGUGCCCUAGGUUUCUAGGUCUGCAGUAGCCAAAACUUACGUCCAUUUUGUCUGAAAAGCGUGGCUUAUCAAACAAGAGAGAUCAUUCUGUACAUGCAUUCUGUCUUCAUUUAUAUGUGCCAACACUGGUGUUACACGUGAAUGUUAUCUACAAUACCUUCUAUUUUCAAAUUAUUAACUGAAAUAGUAAUCGGAUUUAAGCUUCAUGCUAAUGUAAUCAGAUACAUCCCCACUCGAUGAAGAUUAUUUAUCACCAAGUGUUUGAGAUGUCUGCUUUAGGAACAAGUUACAUACUUUAAUUUCUUUGCAUGUAUACAUUUAAUCCCAAUACAUCUGCUACUGCUUCUGCAUUCCUGGAUGCUCCUUGUCCCUCCCUGACAUGUGCUUCCUGCC